UGUGGGUAUAUUUUUCAUUAAAAAACUAUAAUUUUUUCUAUGAGUUAGAGCCUAUAAACAAAUGAUAUAUAAAAUGGUAUUUUGAUGGAAAUGAAAAGAAAAAAAAAGAAGUGAUACUCAAGCUACUACGUACGUAGAUUGAGAUGCUAUAAUUUAUAAAUGUUUAAUUUCAGUGGAAGGACAGUGUAUGAACAAGUUAUAAUUGUAGUUGUUAGCAUGUAUCUGUUAAUUAACAUUUCAUAAAUACUUUUGCGUAUUUUUCAUGGAAAUUAAAAUGUUUCUAUUACAUGUAUAUCCUUUCGCGUUUAGAUGAACUAUAAUGACCCUAAAUACUAAUGGUAAAAACAUACAUAAUUUACUCGAACUAUAGAUAAAUUUGAAACAGUUAUUCGAUCUUUCAUAGGUUUGAUCCGACGUACCAAUCAAUCUUUCAAUUUAUUUAAUUUCAAUAGUCAAUACUAUUUUUACUUCAAAAUCUGAAUACUUGAUAUAAUUCUUGCAGCUAUAAAUUAAUUAAAGUAAAUAAUUAAUUUUAAUUUUGAAGUCAAAAUACCGUCGACCGACUCAAAUCAAACAAAUUGAAACGAUGGAGAGUAAAAUCAAAAUUUUAAAAAGUCAAAUAGUCAUUUCAAAAUAGUUCAUAAUUGAAAUAAGUUCUGUAUAUUUUUUGAAUAAAAAUUUAAUUUACGUACAUAUUUCUGGGUAAUUUUAAGCAUCUGUUAAAAAAUGAAACUCUUUGCUAUGGUGGACACGUUUUAUAGACUCGCUAUUGUGCAUUUAAUUGUGCUCGUGAUAUGUAGCAGGGUGUUGAGGACAACGUGCACCGGUGCAUUAAAUAAUGGUCCAAAUUUUUAAUAAUUCAUACUUUUUCGCAACUUUGCUAUAUAUCAUCAGAUUUUUAAAAGAGAACAUGUAACAUGCGAAAUUAUUUCCCUGGUCGGAUCCACACCAAACUAUUUUACUACUAAAAAUAUCACACGCGCGCGCACACACACCACACACAUAUGAGUUUGGCUUGUAUACUUUUACAAGCUCCUUAGCCUCUGUGCUAUCGUAUCGUUUUCGAUGCUGAAAUUUUCAAAUGGACAAUCGAUUUUAUUGAAUUUGAUUUAAAAUAUUUAAAAUAUUUAAAAAAUAAAAUUCGUAAUUUUUUUAUAUUAUUUAUUUAGUGAUCGAAAGGAUUCAAAAUCACUGACUGAAGAUAAAAUUCUCACAGAAGGUGACGAUAUGACAUUAAAAUUUUAGAUUAAAGAUAUUAAUGUUAUUUUAUAUAGCAUAAAAAACUCUUUAUUAAAAUUUUACAUAAUUUGAAUAUUUCUACACCCGGCUCAUCACGGUAAUUAAAAUUAUUUUCUAGAUACUCUAAAUAUUUUCGUGAAAUUUAUUUUUUAGAUACUCUAGACAUUCUAGAUUAAGUGUGAUGGAGUCGAUUGUUGAUUUGUAAUAGUACGGAGAUCGCUAUAUAUGCUUCUAAAAACAUAUAUGUAUAUAUAUAUAUAUAAAACUAGCCUACUAUGCUAUUAAUAGCACCAAGUCAUUGGUUGGUACUAUUAGAUUUUCUGUCUUUUUAUAAUGCUAUACAAUUUACUAAAAUAUUGUAUUAUAGAUAAUUUAUUUUAAAUGUUUUAAUGAAAAUUCUGUAAAAUUCUUAAAGAAUUUAGCAAGAUUUUAUGAGAAUUUGUUGUAAAUAAUAUAAGGUUAUAAAAUCAAAACUUUAUGUCCAAAUACCAUUUCAAAAUGCACUAUUAAUAGUUCAGCUUAGAUACAAUGGAGAAUAUAUAUAUAUAUAUAUAUAUAAUAUAUAUAUAUAUAUAAUAUAGUAGGCUAGAAUACCUUGUAAAGUAUUUGCGGGGUGAUUACUUGUUGUCUUUUUAAGCGCCAGUUUGGAGGAGAUGUGGAGGUUGAUGAUUGAUGUGGAUGUGAUAGGUGUCGGAGCUGGAAUAGUGUUUUAAUCCAAGGGCUUUAUAAUCAAGAAAGUAGAUCCAAUGCUUAACACCUAAUAGCCACAAUGAUGGUGAUACCUUGUAAAAAGUAUCAUAGCUCGUAACUCUAUAUAUAUACUAAUAUAUAUAUAUAAUUAUAUAUAUAAUAGUUACUACUAGUCUAUCAUCCGGCCUAUGGUGCUUGUAAAAGUACCGAAGCAACUUGGUGCUUGUAGAGUUUUAGCCCGUAUAGAUCUCAGUAUGUUAUCAUUUACGAUCCGUUAAUUGAUACUAUUCACAACGACUCACGCCACUUAACCUAGGGGCCCACAUCAUCCUAACCAACAUAUUUUUUAAUCCAAAGGCUAAAACCUCUAGGGGGCCCCAAUUCAAUCCCUACGGGGCCCCAAAGCACCAAAUGUUUGGUAGCUUUUAUAAUAUAGGAGCUCAAUUUAUAUAUAUAAUAUAUAUAUGAAUCUAUACUACUAUACUAUCAUAGUACAAGCCUUGAUACUAUUAGAGUUUCGGCGUUGUGAAUAGAUGAGGGGUUAGGAUUGUAGUGGCCCUGGUUAAAUUGAUAGUGGUCCCCUUAGGGUUGACUGGUGUUUGGUUUAAUAAGUAUAGAUCUAUGGGUAAAUAUGAUCAAUGAUAGAUCUAAUGGGAUAAAUCAAUUAGUCGAAGCGCUUGGUACUACAUCGAUAUUACAGUUACCGUGCCUCUCAUCUCCUCUCUCUCUCUCUCUCCAUCUCCGUCUCUCUCUCUCUCUCUAUAUAUAUAUAUACUUAUAUAUAUAUAUAUAUUAUAAUAUCAUUAACUAGGCGUAUCUAUCGUAGCGACGGAGGCUUCCCGUGCUACCAAGGUGUUUUCGAUAAUGCGCUUCCAAAUCGACGAUCGCCUACUUGCCGUUACCGAUCGUUGCUCUCCACACCGUCGGCAUCGGCCCGCAGCCAGUGGGCCUAGACUUUCCUGAGUUUACGCAAUCCCACGACUGAACUAAUCUACACUAUUAAAAAUAUUUGGAAACUAAAUUUUUAUAAUUUGUCGACAUCAUUUGGCUAGUGAUCCAAAAAGUUCAAAAUCUAUAACAAUUUAAAUAGUAGAUGUGACCUUUUGUGUUAAUUAAUUGGUGCUAAAACAACCGAAUCUUAAAUAAAAUUUAGAUGAAAAUUCUUUCAGCUAUUUAAAGUAAGCAUCAGUACCCUUUGAUCUUUAAAUUAAAGUCUUUUAUCAUCAUUUUUAAUGAGAUUUUUAAUUUUAGCGUUCAUUUUUAGACUACUUCUUUGAUAGGUAAAUGCAUACCGAAAAAUUAUAGAAAUUUAGUUUUCAAAAUGCUUUAUUAUAGUGUAGAUGCAAAUCUAACAGACCGUCGUACGAUUUAAAAGCCGUGAUUCGAAAAAGCAACCUUGGUAGCACGAGGCCUCCGUUGCUACACCGAUAGUAUACCAGCCUAGCUCUCUCCUCUCUCUUGUCUCUCUCUCUCUCUCUCCUCUUUUUCUCACUUCUCUCCUCUCUCCUCCCUCUCUCUCUCUAUAUAUAAUAUAUAUAUUAUAUUAUUAUAUAUAAUUGAGCUAGAAUACUUUUAAAAGUAUCAUCCCAUUUGGUGGCUUUUAGUUUCUAGUCAUUGGUCUAACUCUUAAUUACUUAAUAGCCCUUGAAAUACUAUUCCACCUACGCACACCUCCAACAUCAUCAGCAACCUUACUUCCCCAUCCAAUGGUUAAAAAUUCAAAGCACCACUUAUCGGUGCUUUUGAAUGUAAUCUCUAGCUCAUAUCCACCACUCUCCUCUCUCGCUCUCCCGCUCCCUCGCACUCACGCUCGUCUCUCUCUCUCUCUAUAUAUAUAUAAUAUAUAUAUAUAUAUUAUAUAUACUAUAUAUAUUUCACUUUACUUAGUUUGGUUAUCAUUUGGGUAAAUGGAGAUGGAAAUAUGUUUGACUUCACAUCCGGUUAAUUUUGUUUGGUUCGCAUGAAUUUCGUGUUGGGAUUCCUAUUCCGGACUGGAAUGGGAAUGCUCCAUUACCUUCACUUAAUUACCGUCUCUAGCUCGGAUUGGCGAUUCAUUCCGAAAGUCCGCUAUAGCUUCUUGAAGCUAUUGUAACGCGAUCUUACCCUCCUUCCUUCAGCCUUUUCUCACUCAAGAAAAAAAUAAAAAACCGCUAUCCUCUCUCAAAACCCUAUCCCUAACCCACAUCAAUAAAAGUUUUUAAAAAUAAAUUUAAUAUUUUUUUUGAAAAACUUAUUAGAGAAUAGUAUUAUAUUUUUCAUAAAUUUUAAUUAAUAUAAAUUUAUAUUUGAGAGUAAAAUUAGUAUUAUAGUAUCCUAUAAUUUUUUUAGUUUAUACGAACCAAAGAAUGAAAUGUGAAUAAUUCAUUCCAAUUCCCAAUCCACAAAUAAACCAAACAUUUUAGGGGAGUGGGUCAUUCCAAUUACCAUUCCAAUUCAUUCCCAUUCCAUUAUCCAUUCCAAUUCCACCUUGAACCAAACAAGCCCUUAGAUGAUUUAUAAAGCAAUCAAUAAUAACAACAAACAAGAUCCAUCAAUAAAAAUGUCAAUGCAUCCAAAUGCUAUUAAUUAAGUUUGUAAAGAACACUAGGACUCAAUUCUCUCCAGCCCAUUUAGCGCUUAUUUGGCCUGUAUUUUUGUGGACCUCCAUAUUAAUAUUCUUAUACGGCAUUUCUGAACAUAAAUACAAAAAAAAAAAAAAAAAAAAAANAAUAUGUAUACUUAAUUUUCCAAUAUAUAUUCUGAGUUCGAGUUCUUGUAGUAAUUAUUAGUGUUAACUCAAAAAAAUGAUAAUUUAAAGAUAAUUAAUUUGUUAGUUCCUAGACCUUCGGCCUCUAAAUUUUCGACCAGUUACAUUUUGGUUCCUAAGUUUUCACUUAAAUAGUUUACUUUGUGAAUUGCAUGUAUAUAUAAUUUCUUGCAAUGUUUUUGAGGUGUUUAUAAUUUCUUGCAACCUGUGGGUAUAUUUUUCAUUAAAAAACUAUAAUUUUUUCUAUGAGUUAGAGCCUAUAAACAAAUGAUAUAUAAAAUGGUAUUUUGAUGGAAAUGAAAAGAAAAAAAAAGAAGUGAUACUCAAGCUACUACGUACGUAGAUUGAGAUGCUAUAAUUUAUAAAUGUUUAAUUUCAGUGGAAGGACAGUGUAUGAACAAGUUAUAAUUGUAGUUGUUAGCAUGUAUCUGUUAAUUAACAUUUCAUAAAUAUUUUUGCCGUAUUUUUCAUGGAAAUUAAAAUGUUUCUAUUACAUGUAUAUCCUUUCGCGUUUAUGAAGUAUAAUGACCCUAAAUACUAAUGGUAAAAACAUACAUAAUUUACUCGUACUAUAGAUAAAUUUGAAACAGUUACUCGAUCUUUCAUAGGUUUGAUCCGACGUACCAAUCAACCUUUCAAUUCAUUUGAUUUCAAUAGUCAAUAAUAUUUUUACUUCAAAAUCUGAAUACUUGAUAUAAUUCUUGCAACUAUAAAUUAGUUAAAGUAAAUAAUUAAUUUAAAUUGAAGUCAAAAUGCCGUCGACCGACUCAAAUCAAACAAAUUGAAACGAUGGAGAGUAAAAUCAAAAUUUUAAAAAGUCAAAUAGUCAUUUCAAAAUAGUUCAUAAUUGAAAUAAGUUCUGUAUAUUUUUUGAAUAAAAAUUUAAUUUACGUACAUAUUUCUGGGUAAUUUUAAGCAUCUGUUAAAAAAUGAAACUCUUUGCUAUGGUGGACACGUUUUAUAGACUCGCUAUUGUGCAUUUAAUUGUGCUCGUGAUAUGUAGCAGGGUGUUGAGGACAACGUGCACCGGUGCAUUAAAUAAUGGUCCAAAUUUUUAAUAAUUCAUACUUUUUCGCAACUUUGCUAUAUAUCAUCAGAUUUAAUUUUAAGAGAACAUGUAACGUGCGAAAUUAUUUCCCUGGUCGGAUCCACACCAAACUAUUUUACUACUAAAAAUAUCACACGCGCGCGCGCGCACACACACCACACACGUAUGAGUUUGGCUUGUAUACUUUUACAAGCACGUUAGUCUCUGUGCUAUCGUAUCGUUUUCAAUACUGAAACUUUCGAAUCGACAAUCGACUUUAUUAGAUUUGAUUUAAAAUAUUUAAAGUAUUUAAAAAAUAAAAUUUAUAAUUUUUUUAUAUUAUUUACUUAGUGAUCGAAAGGAUUCAAAAUCAGCGGCUGAAGAUAAAAUUCUUACAAAAAGUGACGAUAUGACACUAAAAUUUUAGGUCAAAGAUAUUAAUUUUAUUUUAUAUAGCAUAAAAAACUCUUUAUUAAAAUUUUACAUAAUUUGAAUAUUUCUACACCCGGCUCAUCACGGUAAUUAAAAUUAUUUUCUAGAUACUCUAAAUAUUUUCGUGAAAUUUAUUUUUUAGAUACUCUAGAUAUUCUAGAUUAAGUGUGAUGGAGUCGAUUGUUGAUUUGAAACUCUCAAUAUUAAAAAUAACUUAAUAGUACAGAGAUCGCUAUAUAUGCUUCUAAAAACAUAUAUGUAUAUAUAUAUAUAUAAAACUAGCCUACUAUGCUAUUAAUAGCACCAAGUCAUUGGUCGGUACAAUUAGGUUUUCUGUCCUUUUUAUAAUGCUAUACAAUUUACUAAAAUAUUGUAUUAUAGAUAAUUUAUUUUAAAAGUUUUAAUGAAAACUCUGUAAAAUUCUUAAAGAAUUUAGCAAGAUUUUAUGAGAAUUUGUUGUAAAUAAUAUAAGGUUAUAAAAUCAAAACUUUAUGUCCAAAUACCAUUUCAAAAUGCACUAUUAAUAGUUCAGCUUAGAUACAAUGGAG
rnacentral:lncRNA from 1 species